GUGGAGCCCCUCCUGGGUGGUUAACCCUCCUUGGCAGCCACGGAGUCAGCACCAGGCAGUGGAGCCUCAGAAUGGAUUCCGAUGAUUAUGGGUCACUGUUUCUGGAUUGGUCUCUUUCUGCCCCACUUAUGAGUGAGUCUGUUCUAUGCCUGAGGCUUUGAACUGGGUUUUCAGAGGAAUCGACUGAGUGCUCCUUGAGUCUUCAUUAAAGGUUCAGCACAUGUACUUCGGUAGCCGUUGCAAGAACUUGAUGACCUACCUGGCUUCACAAAUCUGUUCAACCUCGAUUGCACGUGUGAAUUUCCUGAGGUCAUAUUUAUGUGCCCCCUGGGAGGUGGACAUACCACCCCUUGGUAAAUGGUUGGAUUGCCUUCACAUGGGUCGUGUUAUACGUCAGAGGCAUCUGAAAAUUCUAGAAUCUAGUUCUAAAAACAAAACACUGGAGUCGCAGUCAGCCUCCUAAGCUACAGGCACUGAGAGGCCCGAACCAGAGCCAAAGAGAACGUGGCCUAAUCUCCCAUCCGACACUCGCGCGGAACGGUGCCUGGCAACCUUCUGCCCUGAUUUAAUAAAUUCAC